GAAGUUUAAAUAUUAGUACAAAGCAUGUGGAUGUUUGCAUUCACUUUCUCGCCUUGACGUUUUCUCUCCCCUUGGAGAGGAUAAUAAACUACAGGGUCGGGAGGAGGAAGACUUGGGCUUCUCAGUAGUCUCUCAAAUGGGGUGUAAACAGAUCUCUGAACAAUCAGAGCCCUUCACUAGCUUCAGAACAGGAUAAGGAUUAAGAAGACAAGCUUUGAAAAUAGAUAAACCUGAGCCUGUCCCUUGAAAGUUUCCAAGUCUCUGUUCCCAUAUCUGUAAAAUGGAGCAAUGAUGCUCAACCACAGGGUGGCUGAGGAAAUCAAAUAAGAUGAAAUGUAUGAAAUACUUAGCACAGGGUUUGGCAAACAGCAAGAACUCGAAUGAACAGUAGUCUUUACUAUUAUUAAUGAUGGAUAGUGGCUAAUACUCAUUUAAUAUCUAGUGUCCUUUGCGUGGAAUGUUCCUGACCCUCCCCUCUGGUGUUUAUCUGUGGCUCAACUGGCCACACAGGGAGUGUCAAGUACAGCUCUGUAACCUUGGUGCCCUUCUUGGGUUUUAUCCAGAGACCAACUCAGCACAAUGCCCCUGCGGAAAGGAUGGGGUGGGAGUUGGGGAUAAAAAGGUGAAAAAUCAUGCCAGGUGCAGUGGGGGUUACGAUGAGAAGCGUGCCUUAGCCAAGCGAGAGCCACUGCAGACACCUCUUGGCAUUCCACCCAUGGGGACUGAGUAGCUUCUGCGUGCCAGGCUGGCCACAUUGGUGUCCUGAAGAGAGCACGUAUUUUCACUAUGCUAUCUUGGGGAUUGGGAACCUUAGGCACGUGAUUUUGGAAUGAAAUAUUGCUUUAGAAGAAAGAACAAAACAUUAGCUAGUUUAGACCAGUCCAGGAUAGGAGAGGAGAUAAGCCCUGCUGAAGAGCCCUGUUGAAAUCACAAAUGCUGCAUUAUCGUGGGAUGGAGAAAGAAGAUAAGUGUAACAUUUCUGUCUUCUGCCCACAUCAACUGAGGUGAUGGAAGAUGUGACUGCCCAAGAGAAUUAAGGUUAGGAAGUUAGACCCACAUUGAGGUGUCAUGGAGGAGCCCAAGAAGCUUCAAGGUCGUCCAGUCUGUCCUGCCGCCGGUACCACCUAGUGGCAGCCAGGAAUAUAUGUCCUGCCUUCUCAGGCGUGGUCUCCUUGGCCUGCCUGGUCUUCAGCCUCGUGACUCCAGCCUUGAUGAAGACACAGAGGAUCAGCAGACCGUCUGUGGAAAACACUGAACUCUCCUCUGAUUGUUUAUGAGGAACAUCUGACUUGUCAGUUUUCCGGAAGGAUUUAUAUAAAUGAAGGAAAGAGGAGAGGACUGCACUGGCACCUACCCCUUGGAAGUCUGUUCAGUGGUCUUCCCUCUGGAAUUGUAUUCCCUGAUGCUUUGUGGAGAUGGUUUGACCCCGGCAGCUUGAUUUCUAGUCUCAGGGGCCCUUCUGCAUCAGUGUCUUCAGGUUUUGAAAAAGUAA